rnacentral:rRNA from 1 species
GAACUUUCCAGAGAUGGAUUGGUGCCUUCGGGAACUUAGAUACAGGUGCUGCAUGGCUGUCGUCAGCUCGUGUCGUGAGAUGUUGGGUUAAGUCCCGCAACGAGCGCAACCCUUUUUCCUUAUUUGCCAGCGGGUCAUGCCGGGAACUUUAAGGAUACUGCCAGUGACAAACUGGAGGAAGGCGGGGACGACGUCAAGUCAUCAUGGCCCUUACGGCCAGGGCUACACACGUGCUACAAUGGUCGGUACAAAGGGUUGCUACCUCGCGAGAGGAUGCUAAUCUCAAAAAGCCGAUCGUAGUCCGGAUCGCAGUCUGCAACUCGACUGCGUGAAGUCGGAAUCGCUAGUAAUCGCGGAUCAGAAUGCCGCGGUGAAUACGUUCCCGGGCCUUGUACACACCGCCCGUCACACCAUGGGAGUUUGUUGCACCAGAAGUAGGUAGUCUAACCGCAAGGAGGACGCUUACCACGGUGUGGCCGAUGACUGGGGUGAAGUCGUAACAAGGUAGGCGUAGAUGA